AUGUAACAAGGUUUCCGUAGGUGAACCUGCGGAAGGAUCAUUACAGUAUUCUUUUGCCAGCGCUUAACUGCGCGGCGAAAAACCUUACACACAGUGAUUUCUUUCUUUGAAAACAUUGCUUUGGUCUGGCGCAAGUUGGGCCAAAGGUUUAUUAAACUUCAAUUUUAUAUUGAACUGUUAUUUUAACUAAAGUCAAUUUGUUGAUUAAAUUCAAAAAUCUUCAAAACUUUCAACAACGGAUCUCUUGGUUCUCGCAUCGAUGAAGAACGCAGCGAAUUGCGAUAAGUAAUAUGAAUUGCAGAUUUUCGUGAAUCAUCGAAUCUUUGAACGCACAUUGCGCCCUUUGGUAUUCCAAAGGGCAUGCCUGUUUGAGCGUCAUUUCUCUCUCAAAUCUUCGGAUUUGGUUUUGAGUGAUACUCUUAGUCGAACUAGGCGUUUGCUUGAAAAGUAUUGGCAAGAGUGGUACUUUAGGUGCUAAACUGUUUCAAUGUAUUAGGUUUAUCCAACUCGUUGAAUCUGGUUAGUUACUUUAGGGUGCUUAGGCUCGGCCUUACAACAACAAACAAAGUUGACCUCAAAUCAGGUAGGAUCCCCAGUUCC
rnacentral:rRNA from 1 species